GGCAUUUCAUUUUAUUUUUGUUUGUCUUGUUUUUACAUUCGAUAGAAUACAGAAAAGAAUAGCAUGGCCUUGCACGAGGAUGACACAUUGAGAUAUUCUUUGCUGGCAUUU
rnacentral:snRNA from 1 species